GGAGGCAUAGCUCAGCUGGCUAGAGUACCUGCUCGACAUGCAGGGGGUCACUGGUUCGAACCCAGUUGUCUCCACCA
rnacentral:tRNA from 1 species